rnacentral:lncRNA from 1 species
CCAUCUCCUUGCUAUGUCAUCAUAUUUUCUCCCCUCUGCACAUGUCUGUGUCCUAAUUUCCUCUUAAUAAGGGUACCAUUCAUAUUGGGUGCGUGCCAACACUAAUGACCUGAUUUUACCCUAGUUACUUCUUUAAAGACCCUGUGUCCAAAUACAGUCACAUUCUGAGGUGCCAGGGGUUGGACUCCAACCUGUGACUUCUUGGGGGGACACAAUUCAACCCCUAACAGCCUGUGGAAUUGCUUAAUGGGAUUUGGUGUGCAGUGUGUACACCAUAAAUGUCUGCGAAUAUUUUAGAAAGUCUCCUUAGAAGGAUGAUGUGAAAAACACAAAAGAAUUAUCAAGGUCCCUCUCUCUGCAUCACAGCCCCCGGGACAAUGGUUGUUGGAGGUUUACUCACUGCUGAGAAAGCUUGCCUGUGGCAUUUGGGGAGAUUAUUUCCUCCAUGUAAUGCCCGGCCUAAAUAUUUGCUUUUCAGUAUUAAUCAUCAUGGCAGCUAUGGAGAGUUUUGAAACAGAAUCAUCCAAUCUUUCCUAAAAGUGCACCAGGCCAAAGAAGAUACACUGGAAGAUGUUAUUAGCUCCUGAAAUUUGGUAACAAGAAAGGCCUUUAAAGUCUCCAGGACUUUAGCUCCUUAACGGUGGGACUAUGCUUUAGAUAGAAGCUGAUUAGUAAAUAUUGAUUGAAUGAAUACAUCCAGACAGAGUGUUUGGAAUCUUGGCUCACCCUGCUCACCUCCCCAGCUCCCAGUCUGGUCUGUCUUCAUCAUGGGAAAUGCUUGCUGUACUGGCCAGAAUGAGCAUCAGAACAUGCAAAGAGCCCAGAUCUGAAAGAAACGUACCAUCUAUUCUUCGAAGGCUGCAACCAGUGAGGUUUCAUCUACAUAACAAGACCACCUUUGGCGGCCAGGCCUCCUCUUCUCUCCCUCCCAUUACCUGUUUUGCCAUUAUAACCUGAUUUACCACUAUAACCUGUUUUUGCCUGUGCUCUGGACUCCCAUUCUUUCUGUAACCUCAAGAUGAUAUGUAAGCUUCUGCACCCCAUUGGUGAGUUGAGCAGUCACUCUGUGGUUCUCCCUGUGCUCACAUUAAUAAAAUC